rnacentral:rRNA from 1 species
UUAAGGAACAAAGAGCAUAAGGUGAAUGCCUUGGUGAUUAGAGCCGAAGAAGGACGUGGCAAGCUGCGAAAAGCUAUGAUAAGGAGCAAACAUCCGUUACAGUCAUAGAUCUCCGAAUGAGGAAACUCACUUAAUAGAGAUAUUAAGUAUCCAUUGCUGAAUACAUAGGCAAUAGGAAGGGAACCCACCGAACUGAAACAUCUAAGUAAGUGGAGGAAAAGAAAGAAACAUCGAUUCCCAAAGUAGCGGCGAGCGAAAUGGGAGGAGGCCAAACCGAAUAAGGAAACUUAAUCGGGGUGAGGGAAGCUAACAAUAUGAUUGAGGUAUCGCAAAGGAAAUACUUGGGGAAGUAUACCAAAGAAGGUAAGAGUCCUGUACUUGAAGCGAGAAAACACAUAAGCUUUACCCGAGUAUCGUAGGACACGAGGAACCCUGCGAGAAAGAUGGGGGACCACCCCCAAAGCCUAAAUACUACUAAUCAACCGAUAGAAAAUAGUACCGUGAGGGAAAGGUGAAAAGAACCCCGGGAGGGGAGUGAAAAAGAACCUGAAACCAUAUGCUUACAAACAGAUGGAGCGAGCAAUCGUGACAUCGUACUUUUUGUAGAACGGGCCAACGAGUUAUGCUGUAAAGCAAGGAUAAUAAAUUAAGUUUAGCAUCCAAAGCGAAAGCGAGUCUUAAUAGGGCGAGAAGUUAUGCAGCAUAGACCCGAAACCGGGCGACCUACCCAUGAGCAGGUUGAAGUUUCAGUAACAUGAAAUGGAGGACCGAACCCACGAACGUUGAAAAGUUCGGGGAUGACUUGUGGGUAGCGGUGAAAUUCCAAUCGAGCUCGGAGAUAGCUGGUUCUCCUCGAAAUAGCUUUAGGGCUAGCGUCUUAAGAAAUGUAUAUCGGGGGUAGAGCACUGAAUGCUCUAGGGGCCGUAUAGGUUACCGAAAGCUAUCAAACUUCGAAUACCGAUAUAUGAAUAAGGCAGUCAGACUACGAGUGAUAAGAUCCGUGGUCAAGAGGGAAAAAGCCCAGAUCAACAGCUAAGGUCCCAAAAUGUAUGUUAAGUGGAAAAGGAUGUGAAAUUGCACAGACAACCAGGAUGUUGGCUUAGAAGCAGCCAUACAUUAAAAGAGUGCGUAAUAGCUCACUGGUCGAGUGGUUUUGCGCCGAAAAUUACCGGGGCUCAAACAUACUACCGAAGCUUUGAACGUGUGAGAUUUUACUAAGAGCUUAAGUAAAAUCCAAGAGAAGACAUAUUAAAAUCUAACCGAUAAAAAAAGAAAAAAAUAAGAAACAAAGACAAAUAAACAAAGAAAAAAACAUAUAAUAAAGAAGAAUAAAAAGUAAAAUAAAACGAAAGAUUUUAAUUAAAUUUCUCAAAGAAAAAACAUACUAAAUGAAGCUUAAGAGUUUAGUAAAAUCUCACACGUGGUAGAAGAGCAUCGUAUGAUAGGGAGAAGGAGGAUUGAAAAAGACUCUGGACGAAAUACGAGAGAGAAUGUUGGCAUGAGUAGCGAGAUGUGUGUGAGAAUCACACAGGCCGAAAACCCAAGGUUUUCCAAGGAAGGUUCGUCCGCUUGGAGUAAGUCGGGGCCUAAGGAGAGGCAGAAAUGCGUAUCUGAUGGAUAACAGGUUAAGAUUCCUGUACCUACGCUUAUCGCCAAAGAGGAGAAGGAAUGACGCAGGAGGAUAAGAUCAGCGCACGGUUGGAAGAGUGCGUCCAAGCAGUAAGGCAGGCAUAUAGGCAAAUCCGUAUGCUGGUAAUGUUGAGCUGUGACGGGGAGAGAAGUUAAGUAUCGAAGGAUCUGAUUUCACACUGACAGGAAAAGUUUCUAUCCAGAUAAGAGUAGCCCGUACCAAAACCGACACAGGUGGGUAAGGUGAGAAACCUAAGGCCAGCGAGAGAACUGUUGUUAAGGAACUCGGCAAAAUGACCCCGUAACUUAGGGAUAAGGGGUGCCUUAGAGAUAAGGCUUCAAGAAAAAGGCCCAAGCGACUGUUUACCAAAAACAUAGGUCUCUGCGAAACCGCAAGGUGAAGUAUAGGGGCUGACGCCUGCCCGGUGCUGGAAGGUUAAGAGGAGAUGUCAGGCAACGAAGCAUUGAAUUUAAGCCCCAGUAAACGGCGGCCGUAACUAUAACGGUCCUAAGGUAGCGAAAUUCCUUGUCGGGU